rnacentral:rRNA from 1 species
UACGGAGGGGGCUAGCGUUGUUCGGAAUUACUGGGCGUAAAGCGCACGUAGGCGGAUCAGAAAGUCAGAGGUGAAAUCCCAGGGCUCAACCUUGGAACUGCCUUUGAAACUCCUGGUCUUGAGGUCGAGAGAGGUGAGUGGAAUUCCGAGUGUAGAGGUGAAAUUCGUAGAUAUUCGGAGGAACACCAGUGGCGAAGGCUGCUCACUGGCUCGAUACUGACGCUGCGGUGCGAAAGCGUUGGGAGCAAACAGG